rnacentral:rRNA from 1 species
CGUUUAGGUGUAAACCUGAGAAACCCGAAAGGUCGAAGGGAGAAAUUCAUUCGCGGUCUCGACGCCUGGCGUCGUUCGAGCGGAUCGACUUGAAACGCGUUCGCGCGCGUUUUUCGCGACCCUCUUACGACGAACCGGAGCCGAACGCGUGCACUUUUCUCCCGGUAGGACGUCGCGAUCCGUUGGGUGUCUGUCUACGGUUCGCGGUGGAGCCCGUCCGUCCCUAGUGCGACGGACGAACCCGCGUAUCCUGGCUGACUCGCUCGACGGUAUGCUAACGGUUAGAGGCCGCUCUUCGGAGCGUUCGACUCUCGGCAAGCGCGCCAGACGCGUCGGCUACCGGACCUAGUGCCGAUUCCGACCUCUGGUGACUGUUGGCCGUGGAAGUUCUCGAACAGACCUCGUGACCGAUCGGCGACGCUAUAGCUUUGGGUACUUUCAGGACCCKUCUUGAAACACGGACCAAGGAGUCUAGCGCGUGCGCGAGUCAUUGGGAAUCACUAAACCUAAAGGCGCAAUGAAAGUGAAGGUCCGCUCACKCGGAUCGAGGGAGGAUGGGCGGUCUACCCUUAAAAGUGGCCGUUCCGCACUCCCGGGGCGUCUCGUUCUCAUUGCGAGAUGAGGCGCACCGAGAGCGUACGCGCUGGGACCCGAAAGAUGGUGAACUAUGCCUGGUCAGGACGAAGUCAGGGGAAACCCUGAUGGAGGUCCGUAGCGAUUCUGACGUGCAAAUCGAUCGUCGGAACUGGGUAUAGGGGCGAAAGACUAAUCGAACCAUC